rnacentral:rRNA from 1 species
UACGGAGGAUGCAAGCGUUAUCCGGAAUGAUUGGGCGUAAAGGGUCCGCAGGUGGCAGUGUAAGUCUGCUGUCAAAGAAUGAGGCUUAACCUCAUCAAGGCAGUGGAAACUACACAGCUAGAGUACGGUCGGGGUAGAAGGAAUUCCUGGUGUAGCGGUGAAAUGCGUAGAGGUCAGGAAGAACACCGGUGGCGAAAGCGUUCUGCUAGACCUGUACUGACACUGAGGGACGAAAGCUAGGGGAGCGAAUGGG